UUUUGGACAAUGGGGGAAACCCUGAUCCAGCAAUGCCGCGUGAGUGAAGAAGGCCUUCGGGUUGUAAAGCUCUUUUGUCAGGGAAGAAACACCGGCUCUAACACAGUCCGGGAAUGACGGUACCUGAAGAAUAAGCACCGGCUAACUACGUGCCAGCAGCCGCGGUAAUACGUAGGGUGCAAGCGUUAAUCGGAAUUACUGGGCGUAAAGCGUGCGCAGGCGGUUAUACAAGACAGGCGUGAAAUCCCCGGGCUUAACCUGGGAAUGGCGCCUGUGACUGUAUAGCUAGAGUGUGUCAGGGGGGGGUAGAAUUCCACGUGUAGCAGUGAAAUGCGUAGAUAUGUGGAGGAAUACCAAUGGCGAAGGCAGCCCCCUGGGAUAACACUGACGCUCAUGCACGAA
rnacentral:rRNA from 1 species